GGGGUUGUAACUCAGUGGUAGAGUGCUCGCUUCGCAUGCGAGAAGCCGCGGGUUCAAUUCCCGCCAACUCCA
rfam:Neocallimastix californiae strain G1 LY90scaffold_89, whole genome shotgun sequence.